rnacentral:misc_RNA from 1 species
UGCGUUGCGUGAUCGUCCCGCACUGGAACUCCGUCGACGUUGUUGUAUAGGCGGGUUUUUUGUGGGUGUAUGUUCACGGGUGCGGGUACCUCGUUCCGCUGACUCGGCGGCAGUCUGCGGUGAUUUUCGUUCGAGAGCGUGCCAGAGCGUUCCGCCGGGUGCAUCUCUGGUGCAGGACAGCUCAUUGAGCGAGCGGCCCAUACAUGAUUCUAUGGUGCGAAGAGCGCCCCACGUCCGACGCUGUAACCUUCGUGCCGCCUCAGCGACUGUUGACGAACGGUGCGCUGGAGCCACAGACGCGCUGACCAUGCGGCAAGGCACUGCGUAGUCGUUGCAACGGAGGUUUCCUCAGACGCAACCACUAGCGACGGAAACGGGACACCACUUCACUCGCCCGUAUGAAAGGUUACGGAAGCGAUAGCGCGUGUAGAGCGGAUGCGCCCUGUGCCCAACGGAUACCACAUAACCAGUGCGAGGACGCAUGCGGAAACGUCGCUCCAGACACACGGGGUCUGGCUGGGGCUCGUGGAACACUGCAACUUGUCGUCAGCUGCUGGGUCUCAGUUGUGGUCGACACCCGUGUCAGUGGAAAGUGGAACGGAUCCACUUUACUGACUCUGGCGAACACCAUAACGCUUGAGUAUUCGCCAUUGGUAUCAACAGAAGCCCUUGCGGGCGUUUGCUUACACUGUUUCCUUUGCUUCUCUCUUAUUUCGGCUUUUCAAUACGGGGGUCUCUCCUUUCGCUCCAGCUCCAUUGCUAACAGUGGCUGAAUAUAGGUGGCAGCAUUCAAGUCCCGAUGAUGCUGCCUCCAACUGGUGUCGAUGCGUUUCAUACACAGGUGGAUGCCACGAUCUGUGCUUCGUUCGCUGUUCGCGUCUUCCUUGUACACAGCCUCGAAGAGUCGCUUCGCAAUGGUGACAUUCGAUAAUGGCGAGGACUUUCCAGGUGUGCACCACACCUUCCUCUCUGAGGGCCUGCAUGUGGCGCAUAGGGGCUUGUUUCAGCGCUCUGUUACCGGCAGUUGACGGGCUCAGAAGGCUGCUGGCGAGAUCCUCCUCCAGUUCCGUGCCCAGUUCGGUAUCGGACGAUCACGGGUUUGUUCUGGGCAAUCCAUGCAUUGGUCUAUGACUCUGUCCGCUAUACGCACAAGCGCAUGCUGUUGCAUAGCAUUGGUUAUCAUUCGCUUCCUUGCAUGUUCUUCGUUUUCUGAGUACGCUUUCCGCAAAAUAUUCCGAUGAACGUACCGGGGAUCGAAAUCUCUUACCGACUUGUGGGCGUAGCGUCGAGGGGUUCCUUCCGUUUUCGGCAAUGGGGCCAAGGCUUGUGAUACGCCCUGUUGCGUCGCGCGCUUGCUGGCCCUUGCUGUCAUUUUUCUCGUUUCUGAAGACGAAGAUGACAGGCGUGCGAGCAGCAUGGAUAUCGGUAGCUGCCUGUCGAAGUACCGAAGACUCAUUGGUAAAGCGUGUCUUCGGUUGCCACGGGGCCUCGUAUACUCUCGUUCGGCUCGCGCGGAAGAACCGGCAUAGAUGAUCGCUCUCCUCGGAUGCAUACCGUUGCAAAUCGCACUGGGGAGCAUGUUCACGAAACCGCGCCUCUCCAUCACCUGUUGCUCCUGCGCGUAUGCCCCUUUCCGGGAGGAGGUACGUUGGCGCUCUGAGCUGGCGGUAAAGCGUAUAGGACUUUCGAGGAUGAUAACGCUUGGCUUUCUUCCAGUCGUUUGAGAGUUCCCUGAAAUGCUCGCGCGUAAGCUGCGUAGAUCGUUUCGUGAACUCGAUAUCAAGAACCAGCCCCUCAUGUUCUCCGCCGCUCUUCUCGCUCUCCAUCGGACGCCUCUGUGCCGCCGUUUCAAGGACGCGCGCAUCUAUAACGAAGCGAAAAACAGAAAGAUUGAAAACUUGAAGAAAGCGUGAUUCGAUCAUGAUUCAGGUAUGGAAAGAGGGAGAAAGGAAGCCUGUACAUAUGAAUUGGAUACAGACGUUGUGUAUCGUUUCUAGAAAACCGUUUUUCAUUCGUGUCGCGACUCAUCUGCAUUCCUUUUCGGUAUUUGCAUUCCAGCGGCAGCACGUCGAAACAGACACGCCGCACCGACGAUCGACGAUCCGGAAGCAACGUAUGGAACGGAUAUCCCUUCAUGCCGCACUUGGAAUGCCCAUGCACUGCAUCUCAAAAACUUGCGGAAAAUUUGAACAUAGGGACAAAGCGAGUUGUUCCGUUUUCCAUCCUAUUCUGGCGUGGGACUAGCGCAGUUUCCAGAGUCGGUAGCGUCCACUGCCCAGAAGUGCUGCUCUGCCUAGACUGCAAUUCAUCAGCUGCGACCCAUAUUUCAGAGCACAAUCCCUGACGGAUGCUCGAAUAAAUACUUUAUACGAUUGGAUAUGGUACUCGAGGAUACUCGUAUCAGCUCGCUCUAGGGCGUGGCGUAAAAAACUUUCGGA